UAAGUCACCACCACCACCUCCUCCAGUGUACAAGUCUCCGCCACCUCCAGUCUACAAGUAUAAGUCACCACCACCUCCUUCCCCAAUUUACAAGUCACCACCACCACCUCCUCCAGUAUACAAAUCACCUCCACCACCUCCUCCAGUUUACAAAUCUCCACCACCACCAAUUUAUAAAUACAAGUCUCCUCCACUACCUCCUCCAGUGUACAAGUCAUCACCACCACCUGCUUACAAGUCUCCACCUCCUCCAGUUUACAGUUCCCCACCACCACCAAUCUACAAGUCUCCACCUCCACCCUACCAUUACUACUACAAUUCUCCUCCUCCUCCUCGUCACUACUAAGCAAUUGUAUCCAAGUUUUUGAGGUAAUAACGUUUAACCAAUAAAUUAACUUUCGCAUGAUAAACCUUAUCUCUAUCUAGACAAACUGCCAUGUGUAUAAUGCCAAAUACGUACACCUAGAUCCAUGAAAAUGAGUGGUAGAAAGUUUUCUUAAGAACCAAGGAACAGCAUUAGUAUUCCCUCUGCUUCCAAACACUUGUGUAUUAAAUAGAUUAAUGAAUUGUUUAACAUGCUCAUCUACUUGAAAAUGCACAAUACCCAUAACCCACUGAAAUUUUUGCAGGAAAAGGGAAAGAGAAUCUGUGUUUGAGAGCUUCAUGAAGAUGUUGAAGAAUAAGAAUAAAAGCCCAAUGCGAGGAUGUUUUCAAGUUUUUCUAUGUUUCCACUUUAAUUUGUAAAUUGAAUUUUGCGACUCAAUUAAUUCCCUGUUUGUGGGGUACGUAUUGUUUUACGUACCAUGCCGUACAUGUUUGUAAGGAUUUCUAUCCUAUUGGCAAAAGUCGGUUCCGUACAAUUAAUCAAUUCAUUUCACUUCUAUUGGCUCUACUAUUUAUGCAUGUUACGACAUUUUUUCUCUCUUUCCCUUAUAUUUUGCCUUUAAUAUUAUUGAGUCAAUAUUAAUAAUGGGCCUUUUUCUUAAAAUUAUACUAUUAUACAUAGGUAGUUUGGUCUAACGCUAAAUUCAUGUUUGUCUUUCUUUUAUUCCCUUUACAUCUCAAAGUAUACUAUAGUUUGUAAUCAUUGUGGUGAUGAUAUUACCAGCUGGUACUUAUAGUUUAAGGCAGAGACAUGAUAUUAACAACUAUCUCAUUGAAACAUAAGGAAAAAUCAUGACAAGUGUGAGUCUUGGUUAAUGCACAAUUUGUUAGUGGAAUUUAUAUUUAUAAAACUCAAAAAAAAUUUUUGACAAUGCUAUUACUAAUUAAUUAAGGACUUUAUUGCUAUAACUUAUCGCUUACUAGUUUAAACUAUAAAUGAUCUCAAUACUUUUCUCCAUGAUGUCGAUUUCUUUAGACUACGAAAGGGAAAAAUUAGUGACAUAUCCUCUACUGAUUACAACAUCAGCAAAAAUUAGUUAUAAACUUUUCCGGUGGUUUUAAAUCCCUCGGGCCCUAAGAUUUUUUGCUCAUCGAGUGAAUUAAGGAACAUAGGCAAUUCGUUCUACAUACCAAGUCCUUGUUUAAGAUGCAAGUACUAAAAUGCAUCCACUUCAUUAAUUUGGGAAAUUGCCAUAGUUUUUUUUAAGCAUUUUGAUUUUUUACAUGAUUCAAAAUUUUCUGAUUGGAUACAAUCACUUUGUAUCAAGAACACAUUUUCAAUCACCUUUUUUUAUCUUCUCAAUAAGAAAAUAAAAAUUUAUUCAUGCUUUUCUAACAUAUUCAAUCAUUGAUCUGAAAAUUAAAACAUUAAAAAAAAAGGACAUUUUCAAUCACUGCUUACAGGGCAACUUCCCCAUGUGAACCUCUUCAAACAAAGCCAAUAAUAUGAAGGAAUAUCUAAAUAUACUUUUGCCCUAAAGGCUGGUUGCCUUGGGGUCAAAAUUUAACCUUCCGGAGUAUAAUUACCCUGCCAAAUUUAUUUUUUUUUUAUGGGUAUAUAGUUCCAAUUUUGCCUCCUGUUAAGCUUAUAAAUAUAUUAUCACCCAGAAAAUAAAGGAAUCUUGAAUACUAACAUGUCCAUUGACUUGAGUUGUCAUCAAUUUGGCUACUUCGAUUCCAUGAGGCCAAUCCAAUUCACACUAGCUAGAGAAAAUGGUGACAAAGGCACUUAGAAAAUUAUAUGUAAUAUUGAUUGGUAGUAACCAGCUUGUAUUGAUUGGUAGUAACCAGCUUGUGCUCUUAUGAAAAAAAAAUUAGCAAAAUUUAUGAGAACAAUUAAAUUUAUUCGUACAAAUCAGUCAAAGAAGUAGUAUUUUAAAGACCGUGAUGAAAUUAAUACUUUCAAGGUUUCUAUUAGGAAGACUUCCUUUGUUGGUGAAACUACACUAGGCAGAGUUAUAUGGUAUCAAAAAAUAGUUGUAUUCACGUCUGUUCUUUUUUUCUUCCUUAAGUUUUUUUCUUUAUUCUCGUGACUUCAAAAAUACGAACUCAAGAAAUUGGCUGCUCAAUCAGUAUGUCAUACAGGCUUCGCUAGUGAGGUAUAACUUCACAACUAGAGCCAAUAGAAAUCGUCAAAUGAUUUUUUGACAUCCAAAUUAAGCAAUAAAUUUUGUUUUCAUUUCAUAACAUAUAAUAGUACUACUUCAUGGGAGAUUUUAUAGUUUCUUUAGGGUAUCAUACCUACAAGUGAUAUUUGUCAUUGGAUAGUGAAAGAAGUGUUAAUGACUGUAAGAUUAAAUAUUGUUAAAUAUUGAAAAUUUAAACUAUUUAUCUUUAUUGAGAGAUACAACUUAAAGAAUCCUACCCAAAAGAGACUAUAGAAUUUUCUCUGUUUUUCAUCAUCUGUAGACAUAAAUUUUGCCUAUACAAUGUGAUAGCAUUUUUUCAAAAAGACAAGAUGGAAAAUUGCCCCCCUUGAACGGAAAAUUGCCCCCUUGUCAAUUCUUUAAAAAAGAAUACUCGCUCCUGAACAUAGCCUGUUCAUCUACACUGUCCCGCAGAAUUCUAGAAAGUUAGGCAAAACUAGACUAGUUGACAGGUAUAAUCAUACCCAACAUCAGGAACAAGCAGUUGCACAUUUCAAAAUUCGCUGCUGCAACAACUAAUUUGAUGACUUACAACACUACACGGUCAAACUUUGAAUGGCAAUGGAUCUUUUGAUGUAAUUUUCAUGUUACAUACAUUAAUAGAUUGAUAUCUAUAUUCUUUAAAUUAUCGUAAUAAUACUCUUAAUUACAUUUAAUUGAUAAAAAGAACACGUGUCAACACACAAAAAUGUGUAAUGUGAAUGUUACAUUAGUGUAUAGCAGAAGACCUAUAGUCUCUUCACAUCUCUUCCUGCACGUAUCAAUUCGUUUCCUCUAGAUAAUAAUCUCCCAACUCAUUUCUUUACAAAUGCACCUUUUAUGUUUUAUUACCUCCAAAAGCCUUUACAGGGUCUUUACCCUAAAAAUCAAUUCACCGACUCGCAUUUGAUAUCAGAAAUUCUUAUUACGAAUUCUACUUUACUCAAAGAUUGACUGUUAAUAAUGAGACAACGACCAUUUUGUAUUAUUACACCGUCCUUCUUGAUAGGCAAAAGAAAUAGAGAGGAAAGCGGGUCCGUAUAUGGUCUUUUAUUCAUAGAUAAUACAACAUUACGCCAUCGAGCAUUCACACAAUAUUUCAAAGUCAUUGCAUGCCUAAGACCCUGUUUGAUAAUCCAAUUCCAUACUUAAAUUUAAUGGAUUUAAAUCUUAACACAUUCAAAUCGUUUGAUAACAAAAAAUUGAACAUUUAAAUUAAUUAAGUAACACUGGAUUUCCAAGACAAAACUUGCUCCCAAAAUUAAGUGAUAAGUGAAUAACUUAUCACUGAAUGUAUGUAUUAGAUUUAAUACUUAAUAAUUUAAUAAUUUAAUGAAUUCAGAUUUCAGAUUUCAGAUUUCAGAUUUCAGUUUUCAGUUUUAUCACACACACCCUAAGUUACAAAUUAAUACCAAAACUUGUUAUUAUAUAGCUUGAGAUUCAAAAAUUUAGAGCAUAAUUCUCAACCUAACACAAUUGAAUAAUGAAUAUUCACGAUUGUCAAAACUAUCAAAGUACAAUUUGAGGACAACCCAUUCCAACGCGUACACGAUUUUUAACUUUUCUAAAGUUGUUGAGAGCUGUUGAAAGAGAUUUACCAUGUUUACAUCUUCCAAGUCUUGGGAGUAAAAAAUGAAGCCACUGAGUGCUAUAAAAAGGGGGCUAGAGGCUGCCUAGAAGCAUAUCAGCCUAAAACAAGAAUUUGUAGUAACAAUGGGGAGCAAAGCAAAAGCAACGGAGUCUAGGCUGACUCCUCUUCUUACCACUGUUUUAGUGGUAUUUGUUGCCCUUGGCUUGCCCUUGGAAACUGCAGCUGAUUAUUACAAGUAUUCAUCUCCUCCUCCUCCUCCUUACCACUAUUCCUCACCACCACCUCCUGAGUAUUCACCUCCACCAACCCCUGUUUAUAAGUUACCCCCACCAUCUCCUCCAGUUUACAAGUCCUCACCGCCACCUUACCACUACUCACCACCUCCGGUGUAUUCACCUCCACCAUCACCAGUUUACAAGUCACCGCCACCACCCCCUCCAGUAUACAACUCCCCGCCUCCACCAGUGUACAAAUACAAGUCCCCACCGCCACCUCCUCCAGUUUACAAAUCUCCACCGCCACCAAUUUACAAGUACAAGUCACCCCCACCACCUCCUCCGGUAUACAAGUCUCCUCCGCCACCUGUUUACGAGUACAAGUCUCCUCCACCACCUCCUCCAGUGUACAAGUCUCCACCACCUCCAGUUUACAAGUACAACUCACCACCACCUCCUCCCCCAGUUUACCAAUCUCCACCACCACCAGUUUACAAAUACAACUCACCACCACCUCCUCCCCCAGUUUACCAGUCUCCACCUCCACCCUAUCAUCACUACUACGGUUCUCCUCCUCCUCACCACUACUAAGCAAGUGCAUCUAAGUUUUGAGGUAAUAAUACCUAUCCAAAACUUUAUCAACACAAACUGCCAUGUAUAUCAUGCUAAGGACGUACACUUGAUCCAUGAAAAUGACUUGUAGAAGAUUUUUUUUAAGAACCAAAGAAAUACAUUAUUUUUUCGGUCUGUUUUCAAGAAUUUGAGCAGUAUACAGAUUAAAGAGUGUUUUUUUUUUUAAACUUGCUUAUCAACUUAGAAAUGCACAUAGCUGAAAGCCAACUGAAUAUUUGCAGGCAAAGGAGAAGACAAUCGGUGUUUGCGACCUUCAAGAAGAUGUAGAAGAAUAAGAAUAAAAGCCCAAUGCGAGGAUGAUUCCAAGUUUCUACGUUACCAUUUCUACAUCUAAAUUGACUCUAGCUCCUGAGUUCCAUGUUUAUGGGGUUUGUACCGUUUUACGUACCAUGCAGUGCAUGCUUGUAAGGUUUUCUGUCCUGUUGGCAAACUGCAGGUCCAUAUAAUAAAAGAAUACUAUUUAUAUUACGACACUUUUCUCUCUUUCUCUUAUAUUUUGUCUUUAAUAUUGUUGAUCAUUUUUUUUUAUUUAUCAAAAGUAUCAAAUGUUUAGGUAAUUUGGUCUAAUGCUAAUUGUUUUACUUCUCUUUUUCACCUACACCCCUUUUCAACUCAAAGGAUGCUAUAGUUUGUGAUAAUUGUUUAAGACCGAAGCAUGAUACUAAUAAAUAUCUCAUUGAAAGUCAAGGAAACUAACAUUAUGAAAAGUGUAAAUCUUGAUUUGAUGAAACUAUUUAUUCGUGGAAUUUAGAGAUACAAAACUCAAAUUGUGACGGUGCUGUUGCUAAAUUAUUAAGGACAUUAUCACCACUAUUUUUCCCUUACUAGUUUCAACUGCAAUGAUCUCAAUCUUUUUGUGACUAAUUCUUUUCUUAAUAAUUUAUAAAUACAAAACUCACAAAGAAUAUGUGACUAAUUCUUUCCUUUCGUCUUCUAAAGAAAAUGGCAACUGUUAGUUUAUCAAGGGAAAAAGGAUCGACAUCAGUUGUUAUUGAAACUAGUAAGGAAAAAAUAAUGGUGAUAAUGUCCUUAAUAAUUUAACAACAGCACCAUCAGAAUUUGAGCUUUGUAUCUAUAAAUUCCACGAAUAAAUAGUUUCAUCAAAUCAAGAUUUACACUUUUCAUAAUGUUAAGUUUCCUUGACUUUCAAUGAGAUAUUUAUUAGUAUCAUGCUUCGGUCUUAAACAAUGAUCACAAACUAUAGCAUCCUUUGAGUUGAAAAGCGAAGUAGGUGAAAAAGAGAAGUAAAAAAUACAAUUAGCAUUCCCUCAAAUCGUAGAAAGUUAGGUAGCAUUAUAGACAAGUUGAUAGCCGUAAUGAUACUAAAAAUCAGGCAAAAGCCAGCAAUUUUACAUUUCAAAAUUCACCUAUCCAAUAACUAAUUCGAUGGCUUGCUACAUGGUCAAUCUUUGGACCCCUUCCUGCCACCACAUAUCCCUUUCCUCAAUCAGGGGCUUCUACAAUUACCAGUUCCAAUUGUAUGGUAUAGUGUAAAUAUCAACAAAUCAGAUGUAGACGCUAAUUUAAUAAAUGUGGAUGCUAAGACAACAACAUACAAAAACAUAAUAAAUUUUGGCAUUCCUUAAAAAAAUUAAGUCCCCAAAUCAAUCUCAUACACCCAAUUUCUAAUUUAAUUUAACCCAUUCCCUCUAUUAACUACACCAUACAAUACAAUCGAACCCAUUCCCUUCUAAUUUCUUCACAAAAUGCACCUUUCAUCACCGACAUGAUCUUUACCCUAGAAGACUAUUCACCGACUCUCCAUUGACGUCAGAAAAUCUAAGAGUAAUUCUACUUUACCCUAAGAUUGAUAUCAACGAGACAAUAAUGACAAUUUAGAAUUAUUACACGCCUCUUCUUAAUAGGAAAAAGAAAUACAGAAGAAAGUCAGGCCAGGUCUAAUUCUUUUUCAAAGGCAAUACAAUAUUACGAAAUCAAGCAGUCAUUCAUACAAAUAUUUCAUAGUCACCGGCCGGGGUUUGCUGAGUAGAAAAGUUUAUACAAAAACUUAAUAUUAUAUUGUUUAAGAGUUAACAAUUUAGAGCUUAAUCUCCUUGUACUUUGGACUAAACUCGAACGUGAAAGGAAAUCCCAAAACCAUAUUGGGCAUGAAUUCACACUUAAUAGACCCAAAAGAAGAUGGCGACUGGUGAAAGGCAGUGGAGACUGGUGGAGAGAUUUGAGGAAUAGAAGCAGACGGAAAAGCAACAAAUUUUUGCCGAAAAACGGUCACUUUCAUGGUUAAUUUUGCUACUCUCUAAUUGUACUUGACCAAAUACAACAAUUUCAUGGAGUUUGAUACACAAGCCCAAAUACACGAGAGUGUGUAACCUGAAUUGUUACUUAUACAUUAGUGUGUAAUAGAACGGCAAGCAUUAUGGUGGUCAUUGAGCAACUUAUAGAAGAAAUAGUCCUAUAAGCUGUUCGAUGACCAAUCGCAACUUGCUAAUUGGAUGACUAAUAUAGCUCUAGCUGUAAUGUUUUAAUUAAAUUCCAUCACUAACGUUGGGAUGACUUUUUAACCAAAAAAAAAAAAAAAGCCUUAGUUCAAGCUUUUCCCCUUAUUGUGCAUUUUUUAAAACAUUUGAUAGGCACUGCAAAUCUGUCAUUUUGGACAUCAACCCAUAUCCAACACAAGAUUAAAUUAAUAUUAGAAAAAAUUAUUACGUAAUUGGAAAAAAAAAAAGAAGAGACUAAUUUUCAUUGAAACCCACCGACAAACUAAGCGUGUCCAUAGCUUUUGAUUAGUUCAUUGCCGAUCACAUGGAGUAAAGAUUGUGCUCUUUCCCUUUCCCCCCCUUUUGGAAUCGAUACUGUGGAGAAUUGGCUUUUUCCCUCCUUUUUUUCUUUUCUUUUCUUUUCUUUCCUUCUGUACUUUGCAAAACAUAGGUAAAAAUAUGAAAUCCGAAGCAUUCUUUAAUUGGGAUUAAGUAUUGUUCUUGAAAUUAAAAAAAAAAAGAAAGAAAGAACAACAAAAAUCCCAAUCUGGGUUGAUUGUUGAGCUCUAGAUUGGCUGCAUCGUGCUUCCAUAGAAGUUCUCUUAGUGUGAUACGCUGCUUUCAAUCAGUUUUAACACGGGAAAAAGAAAAGACAUGAAAAGCAAAUUUUGUGGGGAUAAUUUCGGUAACCUCCCCUGAAGUUUUUGACUAUUUUACUGGCCUCCCUUCAGAUUUUAAAAAUUGCACUAAUCUUCCUUAAAGUUAAUUAUCUUGUAACAUUUAGAUCCAAUCAAUAAUUUAAAAAAUGAUAUUAUGAGAGAGAAAAUAAUAUGAUUUUAUCAUUGCCCCCAUCUUACUACAUUAUUUAAUUAAUUUAAUAGCAACCCACACAUUAAAGAAAAAUGCAAAAAUUUGUUGUUUAUCAUUAAAGAUCAUCAUAUCGCAUAUAACAUCAAAAAAUAGUAUAUUAUUUAUAUUUUUCACUUAAUAUAAUAUCCAAAUUACUCUUUUCAGUUACAUACCCAUUGUUAGACAAAAUCAACAACAAAUAACCAAAAAAUUUGCAACCAAAAUAUUACAAAAAAAUAAACUUUAACAUCAUAAAUAUUUUUAUCAACAUAUUAAAGUUAGUUAUUGAAAUUUUUAUGGUGUUAAACUUCACUCUUUGUAAUAUUUUGGUUACAGAUUUUUUUGAUUAUUUGUUGUUGAUCGUGUUUGACAAUGGAUUUGUAACUGAAAAGAACAAUUUGGAUCUUACAUUAAGUGAAAUAUAUAAAAAUAUUAUACUAUUUUUUAUGGCAUAUGUGAUUCUUUUUUUUUUUUUUUUUUUAUCAGAACGGCAACAUUGUAUUAAUAGUAAACCAAUUACAGUAUAGGUGGGCAACCGCCCUCACAAUCUGCCUGGACUUGUUCCAGCAGCCAAACUGGGAAGUUUUCCUUCCAUUCAGUAUUUUGUUCCAAAGUAAUAGCUACUUUAGCUAGUUUAUGGCUAACAAAGUUGUUCACCCUAUUUGCAAAGGUAAAACAACAUUCAUCAAAUUUUAUUCAUGUACAAUUGUUGCUAUCACCACGUCCUCCUCCUCCUCCUCACUGCACACUACUUGACUACCACCCUUCGCCAACCUUGCUGUUGCAUGUGCAACUAUCAUGGCCUCUCUUAGCGCCUUUGCUUCUUCGACCUUUGGACUGGCACAGCUAAAAUUUGGAACAGCCCAGGCCCACCCGCAAUCUUCCCAACCAAUCCCUGGCCACCCUUUUCCCACCCAGCUUCUAUGGCAUGUGUGAUUCAAUCCUUCUUGAUAGGAUUGGUAAUAGAGGCAGAGGGGGGAGCCGGCUGCAUCCGGUCUACUUUUCAUAGAUAGUACAAUAUUGCGAAAUCGAUCGCAUUCACACAAGAAUAUUUCGAAGUCAUUGCAUCGCUAAGUUGCAAAAAAGUACAAACACUUGUUAUUAUAUAGCUUAAGAUUCAAAACUUUAGAGCACAACCCUCCACCUAACACAAUUGAAUAAUGAAUAUUCACGAUUGUCAAAUCUGUCAAAGCACAGUUUGAGGACAACCCAUUCCAACCUGCAAAAGAUUUUUGACUUUUUUAAAGUUGUUGAGAGCUGUAAAAAGACUUACCAUGCUUACAUCUUCCGAGCCUUGGGAGUUAAAAAUGAAGGCACUGAGUGCUAUAAAAAGGGGGCUAGAGGCUGCCUAGAAGCAUAUCAGCCUAAAACAAGAAUUUGUAGUUAUGAUGGGAAGCAAAGCAAAAGCAAUGGGGUCUGGGCUGACUCCUCUUCUUACCACUGUUUUAGUGGUAUUUGUUGCUCUUGGCUUGCCCUCAGAAACUGCAGCUGAUGAUCACUACAAGUAUUCAUCUCCUCCUCCUCCUUACCACUAUCCCUCACCACCACCUCCAGUGCAUUUACCUCCACCAGUGUACAAAUACAAGUCCCCACCACCACCUCAUCAUGUUUACAAGUACAAAUCUCCACCACCCCCACCACCACACCCAGUUUACAAGUAUAAGUCGCCACCACCACCUCCUCAUCCGGUAUACAAGUACAAGUCUCCUCCGCCACCUCCUCAUCCGGUACCACACCCAGUUUACAAGUAUAAGUCACCACCACCACCUCCUCAUCCGGUACCACACCCAGUUUACAAGUAUAAGUCUCCUCCGCCACCAGUUUACAAAUAUAAGUCUCCUCCACCACCACCUCCAGUGUACAAAUACAAGUCUCCACCACCACCAGUUUACCACUACAAGUCUCCACCACCUCCUCCCCCAGUUUACAAAUACAAGUCUCCACCACCACCAGUUUACCACUACAAGUCUCCACCACCUCCUCCCCCAGUUUACAAAUACAAGUCUCCACCACCACCACCACCAGUUUACCACUACAAGUCACCACCACCUCCUCCCCCAGUUUACAAAUACAAGUCUCCACCACCUCCUCACCACUACUAAGCAAUUGCUUCUGAGGUAAUAACACUUGUUCAAUAUACACACUUCUGCAUGAUAAAACAUAUCUCUAUCAACACAAACUGUCAUGUCUAUCAUGCUAAGUGCCUUCACUUCAUCCACGAAAAUGACUGCUAGAAAAUUUUUUUUUAAGUUACCAAAGAAAAGCAUCAUUUUUUCCCUCUGUUAUCAAGAACUUGUACAGUAUGUAGAUUAAAGAGUUUUUAUUUUAACUAGCUUAUCAACUUAGAAAUGCAUAUAACUGAUAGCCAGCUGAAUAUUUGCAGGCAAAGGAGAAGGAAACCAGUGUUUGGACCUUCUUGAAGAUGUAGAAGCAUAAGAAUAAAAGCCCAAUGUGAAGAUGAUGAUUUCAAGUUUUUCUACGUUACCAUUUCUAUAUCUAAAUUCGUUGUAGCGCCUUAGUUCCUUUGUUUAUGGGAUUUGUAUCGUUUUACGUACCAUGCAGUACAUGUCAUGUUUGUAAGGUUUUCUAUCCUGCCGGCAAAUCGCAGGUUCCAUGUAAUAAAUCAAUACUAUUUAUAUUACGACACUUUUCUCUGUUUCUCUUAUAUUUGUUUGGAUUGAGCUUUAUUUCCCCAAAUUUAUUUGCUUACAUCAUCAUUACAAUUUCUAAUACACCUUUUUACCUUCCCGAUUACCUUUUUAUCUCACAUACAUCACAUCACAAAAAGUGCUACAGUAAAAAUAUCUCUAAUAAUUCACAAUCCAAACAGACUUUUGUCUUUAAUAUUCUUAAUCAUAUUUUUAACAAAAAUAUUCAAAUACUUAGGUAAUCUGGUCUAAUGCUAAUUGUAUGUUUUACUUUUCUUUUUCACCUGCUCCCCUUUUCAACUCAAACGGAUGCAAUAGUUUGUGAUCCCUGUUUAAGACGGAAGCAUGAUACUAAUGAAUAUAUCAUUGAAACUCAAGGAAACUAACAUUAUGAAAAGUGUAAAUCUUGAUUUGAUGCAACUAUUUAUUCGUGGAAUAUAUAGUUACAAAACUCAAAUUCUGACUGCGCCAUUGAUAAAUUAUUAAUGACGCUAUCAUCAUUAUUUAUCCCUAACUAGUUUCGACUACAACUGAACCCAAUAUUUUCCCCAUGAUAAAAGUUUUUGACUAUUUUACUGGCCUCUCUUCAAAUUUUAAAAAUUACACUAAUCUUCAUUGAGAUUAAUUAUCUUGUAACAUUUAGUUCCGAUCAAGAAUUUAAAAAUGAUAUUAUGAGAGAAAAAAUAAUAUAAUUUUAUCAUUGCCCCCCAUCUUGCUAUAUUAUUUAAUAAAUUUAAUAGCAACCCACACAUUAAAGAAAAAUACUAAAAUUUGCUACUUUUCAUUAAAGAUCAAAUUGCAUAUGCCAUAAAACAUAGUAUAUCAUUCUAUGUGUUUCACCUAAUGUAAGAUCCCAAUUGUUAUUUUCAAUUACAAACCCAUUGUCAAACAUGAUCAACAACAAAUAACCAAAAAAUUUGCAACCAAAAUAUUACAAAAAAAAAUAAACUUUAACAUCAUAAAUAUUCUUACCACCUCCAGUGCAUUCACCCUCACCAACCACUAGUUUACAAGUCACCCCCACCACCUUACCACUAUUCCUCACCGCCACCCACAGUGCAUUCACCUCCACCACCACCUGUUUAUAAGUCACCUCCACCACCUUAUCAUUAUUCGUCACCACCAUCUGCAUUGCUUUCACCUCCAUCAUCACCAGUUUACAAAUCACCACCACCAUCUUCCCCAGUGUACAAGUCCCCUCCACCACCAAUUUACAAGUCUCCGCCGCUAUGUCCCCCAGUAUAUAAGUCAUCCCCACCACCGCCUCCAAUGUACAAGUCUCCGCCGACACCAAUCUACAAGUACAAUUCACCACCACCCAUGCCUCCAGUUUACAACUCCUUGCCACCACCUAUUUACAAACACAAGUCUCCCCCACCACUUCCUCCGGUAUACAAGUCAUCUCCACUGCAUCCUCCAAUUUAUGAGUCUCCUCGUCCACCAGUUUACGAGCACAAGUCUCCUCCACCGCCUCCUCCAGUAUAUAAGUCACCACCACUAUCUCCUCCAGUACAUGUCUCCACCACCGCCUAUUUACAAAUCUCCGCCUCCUCCAGUUUACAAUUCCCCACCACCACCAAUAUACAAGUCUCCACCUUCAUCCAACCAUUACUACUAUAAUACUCCUCCUCCUCCUUCGCACUACUGAGGAAUUGCAUCCAAGUUUUGAGGUAAUAACGCGUAACCAGUAUAAACUUUUGUAUGAUAAACCUUAUCCCGAUCAACACAAACUGCCAUGUGUAUCAUGCUAAGUACGUACGCUUAGAUCCAUGAAAAUGACUAGUAGAAGGUUAUCCUAAGAACCAAGGAACAUUAGUUUUCCCUCUGUUUCCAAAAACUUGUGUUUGUUUAACAUGCUUAUCAACUUGGAAAUGCGCAUUGCUAAUAGCCAACUGAAAUUUUUGCAGGCAAAUUGGGAAGAGAAUCAGUGUUUGAGCGGUUCAUGGAAGAAUAAGAAUAAAAGCCCAAUGCGAGGAUGUUCUCAAGUUUAUUAAUGUUUCCGUUCUAUUUUGUAAAUUGAUUUUUGCGACUUAAUUAAUUCCCUGUUUGUGGGGUUCGUGUUGUUUUACCUACAUGCCAUACAUGUUUGUAAUGAUUUUUAUUGCAAAAUGCCGGUCCAAUAAAAUAACUGUAUUCAUUUUGUGUCUUUUGAGUAAACUUCUAUUGGUUCUACUACUUAUUUUACGAUAUUUUUUUUCUCUCUUUCUCUUACAUUUUCCGUUUAAUAUUAUUGAUAAUUUUUUUAACAAAAAAGGUUGAUAUACUUAGGUAGUUCACUAGUUUGGUCUAAUCCUAACUUCAGGCUUGUCUUGUCUUUUAUCUCUACAUACCUUUUCAACUCAAAGGAUGCUACUAUAAUUUGUGAUCAUUGUAGUGGUGAUAUUCCGAGCUAUUACAUAUAAUUUAAGGCAGAGAUUUGAUCCUAGCGAGUAUCUCACUGACAGAUUAGGAAACAUCAUGAAAAGCGUAUAUCUUGAAUUAGUGCAACUAUUUCUUAGGGGAAUUUAUAGUUACAAAAUUCCAAAUUUUGAGAUUCUAUUACUGAUUAAUUAAGGACGUUAUCACUAUUUUUUUUUAAUUAUCACCAUUAAAUACCCCACAUACUAUAAGUUUUUUUAGGGCACAGGAAAAGAGGUGGGCCGAUGUUUAGUUAUCUACAAAAGUUCAAAUUUUGUAGAUAAAUUAUCAUGCGCCCUUAAAGAGUGCAGAAUACCAAAAAAAAAAAAAAAAAAAAAUCAUAUACUAUAACUAAUCCUAAUAUUUUUCCCUACGAUAAACUAACUCUUAUCCAUUUCUUUAGAUGAUGAAAGGAAAUAGUUAGUCACAUAUCCUCUAGUGAUUACAACAGCAUCAAAACAAAUUAGCACUCUUUUCCCGUAGUUUAAAAAUCCCUCAGCCACUAAGAUUUUGCAUAUCGAACGAAUUAAGGAACAUAGGCGCUUCGUGCUGGACAACAGUGUCCUUGUUGACGAUGCAUCCGCAUAUACUUCCUUAAGCAUUUUGAUUAUUUUAUGAUUCGAAUUUUUCUUGUCUGACAGCUGGACUUAAUUGAAAAACUCAAGUAAUAAUAUUCCAAAGCUGAUUCGUCAAAGUUUACCCAAUUGGUGAAACUUUCUUAAUAGAGCUGACUUUGUAUUACGUGACAAUGAUAUGGAUGCUCAAAGUUUUCAAUGGGAAAUUUAUAUGAGCUUUUCACGACAAAAUGUGUUCCGAUAAAGGUUCAUUCCAGAGGUUAAAAUUUUGUUUGUUAAAAAUUUACUUCUCAAGUCUUUGAUGCGAAAGUCUUGGUAUUUCCAAAAAGUCUUGAAAUCGCAGCAUAUAAGCCACUUUCUGUUCUCUUUUUUUCAUUGAAGUCUUUCCAAAUGUCAGUUCCAAAAGGAGUUUUUUAUGAAUUAUGAUAGAUAAUUAAUCUGACGGUCCAUAUAUAUGUGAUUUGCAAGAGGGUGUUUGGCGAAAUGGUUAGGCUUUCUAAGUAAUGAUAGGAAUGCCAUUUGCAAAGAAGGACAGGGGGCCUGUGCUGUCAUAUUUUAUGCGAUUUGAUCCGUUGUUGUAUAAGUUUAAAUUUUUGACGUGCAAUUGUGCUACAAUAUUAUACUAAAUAUAUGUGUGAAAUAUUUUGUCUAUAUACAUCACUUUUAUCGUGAAUACAACAGCUGAGUAUAAUAAUAUAAUAUAAUGUAAUUAUACACCAAAUAAUGUAACAAAUAUAACAAUCGAUCUGAAUUACACGAAAUCAUAACAACAAGAUCACCGCCUCCCAAAUUUUACAAAAUAAGGUUUUUUUUUUCUUUUAGAUUAUUGAAAAUUUUCAAAAAUAUUCUACAUAAUUUAAAUUUUUGUCCUACAAAAAUUAAAAGAGAUUUUAUAUUGCACGCUUAAGCUUAGAUAUAUUAAAGUUUGCCCCCAAGAUUAAUUUUCCGUUUUUAUCUAUGGUUUCUCAUCUAUGAGCCGAUCCAUAUAGCUAGUUAGACUGUACUCCUCACAUUUGUGGGAUUUGACACCCAAGAUUCUCCUUCUUGGAAUGUAAAAUGUAGAUCUUCUAUGUUAAUAAUUCAGGACCCAACUGUCAUAAACGAAAUGACUGAUCAACUCCUGUAAAUCUAAUUUAACAACAUUUAAAUGGAGAACUUUAGCUAAAAGAAUUAUGGUUAUUUUCCAACAUAUGCAAUCAUUGAUCAGAAUAUAUAUAUAUAUAUGUAAAAGACAUCUUCAGUCAUUUCAUAGCUUACCAGGCAAAUUAACCCCUAAGUGAACCUCUUCGAACAGAACUGACAAUAUGGAUGAAGAUCUGGAUAUUCUUUUAUCCUGACUCCUAAGGGAAAACUGGUUGAUCUAGAAUCAAAAUUUUACCCUAGUUACCCAGGCAACUUUUUUGUUGCCUUUUUUUUUUUUGGUAUAAAGCUCCAAUUUUGCUCCCUCUGUUAAGCUUAUAAUGCAUAUAAUUAUUAAGAUAAUAAAAGUGCCUUGAAUAGUAUUAAUAUAUGCAUUGACUUGAGCUGUCAUCAGUUCGGCCACUUCGAUUCCAUGAGGCCUUUUCAAUUCACACUAGCUAGAAAAUGGGGAGUCGUGAAAACCUUUUGUUCUAUUCAUUGCUAAGAUGCUUUUCUCUAUAAAGAGACUUCCUAACGAAAAUACUUUGUAGAUUUCUUUACUCCAAGUGGUGCAUGAAAAAUUAAUAUUUUCAAUUAACAAAUAAAAUUCCCUUUUUUUGGUGUAGAUUUCAUCCAUCCAGCUGUUAACACAUUCUAUAAAUCCGAAUUGACUAAUCUUUUCAUUUCCAUUUUCCAACUUGCGAAUACGGCAUCUUAUAUAAUGUCUGCUAAACACUAUAUAUUCUCUGCCAAAUAUGAAUACAUAUCACUUUUCUGAGCAAGUGCAGAGUCAUUAUCAUUUUUAUUCCCACAUAACAAAUUAGUGGUUGAGCAUCUUUACAUGCUAUCAGGUCACAAGUUAAUAAUCUUUUAAAGAACAUGUUAAAUUAAUUUAUUGGUAUGAAUAGUCAAAGAAGUAUGUUAAAGUUAGCAAUCUUUAAAAUAAUAUGUUAAAAUCAUUAGUACAAAUUAGUCAGAGAAGUAGCAUAAACACCACGAUGCAAUUAAUACUUUCAAUCUCAAGGUCUCUCUUACGGAAAUUUGCAUCGGUCAACAUACACAAAGCAUAAUUGUAUGCACGUCUCUCUAUCAUGGAAUUUGCAUAGGUCAAUAUACACUUGGCAUAGUUGAUAGUUGUAUGCGCGUAGGCAUGGCCAUGGUUCCAUUUGGAACUGGGAAUCAGACCGAAACCGGAUCGUUUGGAACCAGAUCAGAACCGGAAUCAAAACCAUGAAACCAGAACCGUGAUAGAACCUUGGAUAAAGGUUCCGGUUCUGGUUCUCUAAAAAAUAGAACCAGAACCAGAACCGUUAAAAAUAAUUAAUAUAAGUGGUGAGAUAAUUCAAAAAAAAUUAGUUGUGUUUAAUAGGUUUUAAGAAAGUUUAAAUUUUAUGGACUUUCUAUAUAUUUUAUUAAUUAUUUAAUUCUUUCUAUUCAUCUAAUAUUUAUCAUUAUAAUUUGCAAGUAUUAAAUUAUUACUUAAAAUUUUUUUUUUUUUUUGCUUAUUUGCUAUCAAAUGACAAGUUUUGAUGGUAGUAGCUCAUCUUCAAAAUCAAGCAAGCAAAAAAAUAUUUUUUGCAAUAUUUCUUCAAAUGGAAUCUUCAACAUUGAUGAUUGUCCAACUCAAGAAAGUCAACAUAUGACAACCAUUUGAUAGUGUAAUGUAUUUUUUAAUUUGACAAUGUAAUGUACUUUUCAUAAAAUUUAUAUUAUCUAUUUAUUACUUCUUACUUUGUAGAAUAAUAAUAAAAUUAAAAUAUGAUCUUUAUUUUGUAUUUAUUUUUUUACGUUUUAUUUGAAAUUUUAAAUAUAUUGUUAUAUUCGUAUUAAAAUUGGUAAGGAUAAGGAAUUAAAUAAAAUUGUAUAUAACCAUACAGAACCGGAAACCGGAACCAGAACUAUAAGGAACCAAAAUCAGAACUAUGCGGUUCUGGUUCUACCUCUUUGAAGAACCAGAACCAGAACCAUUUUAUAUGGUGCGGUUCUGGUUCUACCUUUUUUAAGAACCAGAACCGGCGGUUCUAGAACCGUGGUCAUGCCUAUAUGCACGUCUUUUAUUUUAUUUUAUUUUAUUUUUUGGUACUGUUCUUCCUUGCUUUAUAGUAUGCACGUUUAUUUCUUUGGAUUGCUUAAGAUUAUAUUGUUAAUAAUAGGGCAUUUAACCAUAAAUUAUAAUAAUUAUGAAGUAAUAUAUAUUAGAAAAUUAACACAAUUAUGAUUUUUUUUUUUUGUAAAUUCAAAUUUUAUUAAUAAGAAAUGAAAUAGACCGUAAGCAAAAACAAAAUCCUACAACAACUCUAGGACUCUACACCUUAUAUAAAAAAAAACUAGGACUCUAUACCUCAGAGAAGCUAAACAAUCCAACAAAUAAAAUGCAAAAUAAAUCACAAUAACGCAAAUUAUGUUAAGCUAAUAAAUACUACCAUGCAACAAAAUUUUUGUCUUUGUCCCGCGUGAAACUACGAAGUCAAGAAUUGACUCCUUUAACCAGUAUUGCCAGCGGGGCUCCGUCAGCAAGAUACAACUUUGCAAUUUUAUACAAUAGAAAUCCUCAAAUAGCUAUUUUGACAGGCAAAUUAAGCAUUAAUUUUGGUAUCCCUUCAUAAAAUACAAGAGUACUUUUGAUUAUAUCUAUAGAUCAACUUUCUAGGCUUGAUGUAUUAUAAGAAAAAUCUGCCUAAACAUUUUGAUAGCAUUUUUCCAAAAGCAGAAGAUGGAAAAUUGCCCAUUUGUAAUGGGGAGUUCGUGAUCUUUUCCUCAUUCUAGUCUACUUACAAUUCUUGGAAAAAGGAAUACUCACAUCUCAAACAACAGCCAGCUCAUCUGCGCUGUCCUGCAGAAUUCUAGAAAGUUAGGUGGCAAUGUUAAUAACAUUUCAAAAUUGACUGCUGCGAUAACUAAUUCGAUGGCUUACUACAUGGUCAACGUUUGGAUCCCUUCCUGCCGGCACUGUCCUUUUUGGAUGCACAUUUUUUUUCUCUAGGUAAUAUAAUCACCCAACUCAUUUCUUUACAAAUGCACCUUUAAUCACCACCAAAAGGUGUGGACAUGAUCUUUACCCUAGAAAACUAUUCACCGACAGGCAAAUUGACGUCAGAAAUACUAAGAGGAAUUCUAGUUUCCUUCGGGUUAAUGCCAUUUUGUACCCUUCAACUGUAACUCGAUUUCUAAGCUGUAAUUUGUGACAUUAUAGUCCUUAAACUAUGAAACCCUUCUUACUUAAGUAUAAUGGUUAAUACAAUACUGGUGAUUAGACAAGUAUGAAGCAACCAUAACAAAAAAAAAUCCAAAAUUAGAGAAAAGAAAGAUGUUUCGCGACCAAAGUAUGUAUCAAGGCAUAGUAUAGAAAUAAAAGUGUCAAAAUUAAGAGUUUAGGGAUAAAAAAGAAUCAAGAUAUAGUUUAGGGAUUGAUUUGUCUCAAUUAGAGCUUAGGUGUCAACUAAGAAGAGAGAUAUAGUUGAAGGGUAGAAUAUAGAUAUAAAGGUUCAAUGAUUGAUAUCAGUGAGACAAUGAUAACUUUGGAUUAUUACCAACCUCUUCUGGAUGGGAAAAGGAAAUAGAGAAGAAAGUCGGGCCUGGUCUAAGCCUGUUUCGGAGGCAAAACAACAUUAUGAAAUCACCGGCAUUCAGACAAAUAUGUCAAAGUCACCGGCAUGCUAAGUUGCAAAAUUUAUACAAACACUUAAUAUUAUAUUGUUCUUAAAAUUUUUGUUUAAGAUUUAACAAUUAGAGCACGGUACACGAAUUAGAAAUAUUAAAUAAUGAAUGUUCACGAUUGAUAAAGUUAUCAAAGUACAGUUUGAGGACAACCCAUUCCAACGUGUACAAGAUGUUUAGCCUUUGAAAAGUUAAUUAGAGAAGGUGACGAGAUUUUACGAGGCUGACAUCAUCUAGGCCUCGAGAGUAAAAAAUGAAGACACUGAGCGCUAUAAAAAGAGGGCUAGAUGUUGCCUAGAAGCAUAUCAGCCUCAGACCACGUUUUGUAGCAAUGGGGAGCAAAGCAAAAGCAAUGGGGUCUAGGCUGACUCCUCUUCUUACCACCGUUUUAGUGGUAUUUCUUGCUCUUGGCUUGCCUUCAGAAACUGCAGCUGAUUACUACAAGUAUUCAUCUCCUCCUCCUCCUUACCAUUAUUCCUCACCACCACCUCCUAUGCAUUCACCCCCACCACCGCCAGUUUAUAAGUCACCCCCACCACCUUACCACUACUCCUCACCGCCACCUCCAGUGUAUUCAUUUCCACCACCUUUGCCAAUAUACAAGUCUCCGCCACCACCUUACCAUUAUUCCUCACCACCACCCCCAGUGCAUUCACCCCCACCACCACCAGUUUACAAGUCUCCCCCACCACCUUACCAGUAUUCCUCACCACCACCUCCGGUGCAUUCACCACCACCUCCUCCAGUUUACAAGUCCCCGCCACCACCUUACCAUUAUUCCUCACCACCACUUCCAGUGCAUUCACCUCCACCAUCACCGAUUUACAAGUCUCCACCACCACCUUACCAAUAUUCCUCACCACCACCUCCACUGCAUUCACCUCCACCACCACCGAUUUACAAGUCACCUCUACCGCCUCUUCCAGUUUACAAGUCUCCGCCACCACCUUACCACUAUUCCUCACCACCACCUCCGGUGCAUUCACCUCCACCACCACCGGUUUACAAGUCACCUCCACCACCUCCUCCAGUUUACAAGUCCCCGCCACCACCUUACCAUUAUUCCUCACCACCACCUCCGGUGCAUUCACCUCCACCACCACCGGUUUACAAGUCACCUCCACCACCACCUCCAGUUUACAAGUCCCCGCCACCACCUUACCAUUAUUCCUCACCACCAACUCCAGUGCAUUCACCCCCAUCACCACCAGUUUACAAGUCUCCGCCACCACCUUACCAUUAUUCCUCACCACCAUCUCCGGUAAAUUCACCUCCACCACCACCGGUUUACAAGUCACCUCCACCACCUCUUCCAAUUUACAAGUCCCCGCCACCACCUUACCACUAUUCCUCACCACCACCUCCAGUGCAUUCACCCCUACCACCACCUGAUAGGGUAUAAUUUGUUAGUAUUUUUAUUAUUAAUUUUCCCUUCUAUCCCUGACAAAUAUUGUGUUAAUUGCUGAUAUUUACUCAUAUUUGGUAUUUGGAAUCAAUUUCAGGAAUGAAGCAGAAAACUACCAAAAAGGAGGGACUUUGUGAAAAAUAUGGAGACUUCUAAGGGCUUCAAUCCUUGGGCCCUUGAAUUGGUGGGGGACCACAAGCUAGUGAAAGGCAUUUGGUCAUUUGGGCUUCAAAGAAAGCAACGUAGAGAGACUUGGAACAAGAAGUACUUGGGAGGCUUUGUCCACAUGUGUGGGGACCACCUAGAUAGCUUUUAGUCAUCUUUCUUUUGUUGCUUUAAAAGGGGACAACGUACAGAAGCAAAAGAUAUCUAGGGCUUUAGUUUUAGUUUUUAGUUUAGUUCUAGUUUUCUUUCUUUGGACUGGCCUCUGACACACGCCAGGUAUUCGACAAUAUUCCCCAACGGGGAGAUUUUCUCAUGAGGCGUGGUUAAGCUUUUCAAGGGGACACUGACGAUUUGGUUCAAUUUACUGUGAGAUCGAAUCUGUUUUAUUUUUUUCUUCAUUUUGGUUUUUAUAUGUUCCUUGAUUUUAAUUGCUAUGGCCUUGUGUAUGAUUGAUUAGUGCACAAUAAUUAAUUAUUCAUAUAGGCUAUUUUUGCUAAAUAGGGGUAAUUGAAUCCGUAAUUGUUCGUUAUCUCUACCUCAGUAGCAACUGGCGUAAUUGGGUUUAUGUCAGGGGAGCAUAUGAUCUAAUUUAAACAAACCCUCGUAGCGUAUUUGUUGGUUAGGAUUGGGCCUUUCUAAUUAUUAUGCAAUCUAGAAAUUAAAUCCUACGGUCGUACCUAGGGUUAUUUUUGGGUUAGAGAAAUAGCUAACGGUCGUACCUUAGCUAUCGAGAAAUUAAGGAAGGGUUGGUUGUUUAUCGCGUGCAUGACAACUAUAACUAAUCUAUUGCUAAAUGUUGGAAUUAUUUCUGCAUCAAUGAUCAGUGCCUGAACCAUUUCUGAAGUGUACCCUUGGCUAGAGUUUCUCUUAAUUAUUUCUUUUAAUCAAUUAUUUUCUGCACUUGAUUUAUUUAGUUAGCAUUUAAUCCAAGAACCUCCCAUACUCUGGACUCUAGAAGAAACGAAUUAUCCCCAAUCCCUGUGGAUUCGACCCUGCUCGCCGCUAUAUACAAAAUCUGUAUUUUUCUUGAGUAGGUAAUUAUUAUUGCACAGGUUCGGCACCUGUCACCACCAGUUUACAAGUCUCCGCCACCACCUUACCAUUAUUCCCCACUACCACCUCAAACGCAUUCACUCCCACCACCAGUUUACAAGUCACCGCCACCACGUUCUCCAGUAUACAAAUCACCUCCACCACCUCCUCUAGUUUACAAAUCUCCACCACCAUCAAUUGAUAAAUACAAGUCUCCUCCAGUGUACAAGUCAUCUCCACCACCUGCUUACAAGUCUCCACCUCCUUCAGUUUACAGUUCCCCACCACCACCAAUCUACAAGUCUCCACCUCCACCCUACCAUUACUACUACAAUUCUCCUUCUCCUCCUCCUCCUUCUCACUACUAAGCAGUUGUAUCCAAGUUUUUGAGGUAAUAACGCUUAACCAAUAAAUUAACUUUCGCAUGAUAAACCUUAUCCCUAUCAAGACAAACUGCCAUGUGUAUCAUGGCAAAUCCGUACACUUAGAUCCAUGAAAAUGAGUGGUAGAAGGUUUUCUUAAGAACCAAGGAACAGCAAUAGUAUUCCCACUGCUUCCAAAAACUUGUGUAUUAAAUAGAUUAACGAAUUGUUUAACAUGCUUAUCUACUUGAAAAUGCACAAUACCCAUAACCCAUUGAAAUUUUUGCAGGAAAAGGGGAAGAGAAUCUGUGUUUGAGAGCUUCAUGAAGAUGUUGAAGAAUAAGAAUAAAAGCCCAAUGCGAGGAUGUUUUCAAGUUUUUCUAUGUUUCCACUUUAAUUUGUAAAUUGAAUUUUGCGACUCAAUUAAUUCCCUGUUUGUGGGGUACAUAUUGUUUUACGUACCAUGCCGUACAUGUUUGUAAGGAUUUCUAUCCUAUUGGCAAAAGUCGGUUCCAUACAAUUAAUCAAUUCAUUUCACUUCUAUUGGCUCUACUAUUUAUGCAUGUUACGACAUUUUUUCUCUCUUUCCCUUAUAUUUUGCCUUUAAUAUUAUUGAGUCAAUAGUAAAAUUAUACUAUUAUAAAUAGGUAGUUUGGUCUAACGCUAAAUUCAUGUUUGUCUUUCUUUUAUUCCCUUUACAUCUCAAAGUAUACCAUAGUUUGUGAUCAUUGUGGUGAUGAUACACUACAACAAAAAUGGCCUUUCCUGACAUGUCUAUAAGGACACUUGCUGGUUUUUGUCAUUAUAGCACUUCUAUCAUGACAUUUGUUAUCAAUUCACUAAUUUAUACUUUUUUUUAUUUUAUCUGAUAUAAAAAUAAUAAUGUGUCUUUAGAUUUCCUAUCAUGGCAUUUUAGAAAAUGUGAGAUACAACGAAAAAAUUAAAACAUAAAACGAUGUCGUUUGAUUUUGACGGAAGAUUCAUUUGCCAAAACACUUAGUGAAAUCUCAAAACUUUCAUUGUGUCGAUUCUUCUCCUCUCUCUCACAAACCCUCUCUCUCGGCAGACUAUCUCUCAAAACUCCCCCAUUUUGGUUCUUUUGUCUUCCGCCUUCGCCGCCGCCCCACUCCUCCAUUUUCGGUUGCUAACUUGGCCGCUUCUCUGCCCUAUUCGGUCAACCACGACACCUACACCAAUAAGUCUUCGCUCUCUUUGCUAGGACAAAAGGAAUAAAAAAACAGAUACUCAUGUUCUUUCCUUUUUCUUCUUUCCUCUGAAACCGAUCCCCAUGCUUCUCCGUACUGACUAGAUAUUCAGGUUGAGCGUGUUGAGGAGUAGAGUAGGCGAAGGUUGCCGCCAUCGUCUCAUUGAAGUCCAGCCACUACAGCGGAAAUCAUCACUGUAAAGUUUCCCGUACUCUUAUACCUUUUUUCCCCCUUAAUUGUAUUGUUUUCUUCUUUGUCUGCAAUCAUGUCGGUUAUGCUUUACUUUCGUCUUGUUAAUCGAUUUUAAGUGGCUGGAAUUGAUCAUAGGUUUGAGUAGAGUUUUAGAUUUAAAAUUCAAGCUCAGGCCGUAUAAGGAACUGAUGAAAAAGAAAUUUCAAAACUUUUCAUCCUCACUACUUGUUUGUCGGAAGGUUCGAAUGAAGAAAGAAGGAAAUUUGCAAUGGAAGUGAACAGAGAGAGAUGAAAGUGAUUGGAGAGUGAAAUUUUGCCUUGGUGAACUUUUCUUUUGUUUUUGAUCAUCAAGUGCAAUAGAAAAGUACAUUUAGUACAAUUUCCUAACUAUCUUAGAGGAAAUCUUGUUUGGAACUUUCGCUGGAUGCUAUGCAACUUAUUUUUGAUGCUUUGGUCAUGAUUGUUGUUCUGUUUGCUACAGCCCCAUAAGAAGGUUUUUUUUUAAUUAUUAUUAAAAAUUACCGCAUAGCUUGGAUACUUUUGCAUUCCAUGCACCAUGUCAGCUAUUCAUAGCACAUAGCACUAAAGUAGAGCACUCUGUAAUUUUGGAGAUGUUUCAUCUACGCAUUCAAUUAUUUCGAGUUUUUAGUCCAAUGGGUAAUAAAUUGGUUGUACAUCACUUAUUAUGUUGCAUCCCAGUUAUAUUGACCUAGAACAAUUACCAUAUAGACAAAAAGAAGAUAUUAACUGCAGCAAAUUGAAGAAUAAAAAGAGUAUUUGUCAAAUCUUUUCUCCCAACAUCCCUCGUAAUUCUUUCCCCCAACCUCAACUUAGGCACACAUUGUGUCUCUCCUUUUCUUCUUCAAACUAAAUGUUCUUCUCAUGGACAAAUAAGAAUAAUUUGAAUUUAUGAGGAUACAGAGGAAGAGAAUGAAGAUGGAGAAGUUAAUUGUUAUAACUCCAGUUAUGAUAAAGUUGAAGAUGACUUUACAUAAGAUGGAUUAAGUGACUAGUGCUCUAUUGUAAGAUGCUGGGUGCAUAUCUUAAUUUCUUUGAAUUGACUUUAUAUCUCAAAAAAAAAAAAAAUUGAAGGGAUUCUAUAUUUAUUUGACUUGUGUGGUAUUUAUUUGUGUGACUGUCUUGUUUUUUGUCUGCUUUUAUGAUCUAGAGCAUUGAUUACUCUAUAUUUUUAGACAAGAAUAUAUUGUUUUUGUUGUAGAAUUUCUGUAGAAAAAAUACAGAUCUUGCACAUUAAACCCAAUGGGGACUGUUUGCACUAUAAUGCAUUAUGGGCAACUAACAAAUUGGGAUUUGCUAGCCAUUCAAUAUUUUGUAAAUCCUCUGCAGUGUAACAUACUGGAAAUUGCCUUUCAGUUACAGUCUCCAGCGAAGUGUCCUGAUUUAGUCUUUCAAGUUGGAAUGUGACUAAUAGUUUCUUAUCUUUUAAAAGUUUGCCAAUUUCAGGAGGAUUGGUUACAUAGUUUUUUAAGAUUUCUUUCCUCCAGUGGGCACUUAAAAAAAUAGUGAUUAUUGAGUGCUUUGAUCUGUUGAAAUUUAAUUGAAAAUUUUCCGAUCAUUAAUUGACACACUUCAAAAUACUAAUGACUACAUAUGUCAAAGCACAACCUAGGAAAUUAUAUCAGCACGUGCUCCGAUUGUAUGGUACUAAACUUGCAGUGCUUCCACAAAGAAUGUGAAGAGCACAUAUAUACUGAUCAUUGAAAAGAUAGAUUUCUAUUAUGAUUCUGCUAAUGUUUGAAGCACUAAAUGUGAAAUUGCUAUCUAUUUUGAAUGAGUAUCUGUUUCUAUGAAAACUUUGGACAAAUAUGCAUAUGACAAUAGUUUCUAAUGAAGUUACAAACGAUGCUGAACCUUUGGCAUUAUACCAAGAAGGUGUUAAUCAAGUUAACUGGUUACACUUCUAAGCCCUUGCCUGUGGGCAGAAUCUGAGCUAGCUUUAUUCAUUUGUAGCAAGAAGUAAUUUUGCAUGCCAAUGCCAUGCAUUGUUGACUAACCUGUCGCAUUCAGUGUUUGGACAGGUGGGAGUAUAUUGGCGGCACUUGGUUCCUUUCAGCAAAUUUGGUUUUCAAAAUCUGAGUAAGCUUUUACAUCUACUCUACCUUUCAAUAUUCAACUUUUCUUCUUUUUUUCUCCCCAUUUUCAGUCUGUUUUAUCUCUCGAUUAAUAGGUUUGAGGAACAUGGAACUUCUUAUGUUCAAAGAAAAUGCCCGUAAAGUACUUUACUGGUGCGGACAAUUAUCACAUUAGACAGAAAUUCAUGGAGCUGACUUCACUUUGAUUAGUUCGCUGACGGUAUGGGUUGCUCGGUUUUAAUAUCCUGCUUUAUAGGAGCCCAAGCAAUGUACUAUAUAUAUACUAUACCUCUCGCGGAUCGUUGCUAAUGUUGUACAAUUACGUUACCUGACUUUUAGCAUUUCUUUCAACUGGUUAGGGAUGAGAGUCUUUUUGUUUGUGCACAAGAAAGUCUUUCAAGUUAUUGUAAAUGAGAAUCUUUCGGUAAUUUUUUGGGAUUUUAGUACUUGCUUUGAGCAUUUGUUUGCGAUUUUAGUACUUGCUAUGUUUGUACUUGUUAUUGACUUUUAAUUCAAUGAAUUAUAUUUGAGUAUCGACUUCUUCUUUUAAAUUGCUAUAUGCAUUCUGCCUUUUGGGAUAAUUUUACAAGUCCCUUGGGAUUCUGGUUGAUGGAAUGUACAGCAGGGAGGACUAAUUACAGGUUGCUUCCAUAUGAAAAAAAAACAGGAAAAAACUCCUGGCAAUUAGAAGUGUCAGCAUAGCUUAGCUUCAAAAAACACUAAUGACAAAUGGGCAUGUCAUCCAAAGCAGUGUAAAUUCACAUGGCUACGUGUCCUUAAAGCCAUAUAUUAAGACAAUUCAAGAUGCCUUCAUAAAUUGGAUAUACUACUAAUCCGCUACUGAUGUUCUAAUGCUAUACGGACACUUUCGAUUAUCACAAAAAAAAGUUUUUGUUGGCAGAGGGAAUGCUAUAGCAGCAUGGUUUUCCUGACACAUUUGAAUGUUGCCAAAGAUUUGAGGCUAUCCCCACAUUGGAAGGGACAACACUCGCCCUAGGUGUGAGGAUAGAUAAAAUGUCAGGUUAGAUUAUCUAUACUGACACCUUUAAAUGCCGCUAAAGGCCAUUUUUGUUAUAGUGAUAUUACCGGCUGGUACAUAUAGUUUAAGGCAAAGACAUGAUAUUAACCUAUCUCAUUGAAACAUAAGGAAAAAUCAUGACAAGUGUGAGUCUUGGAUAAUGCACAAUUUGUAAGUGGAAUUUAUACUUAUAAAACUCAAAAAAAAAAUUUCACAAUGCUAUUACUAAUUAAUUAAGGACUUUAUUGCUAUAAUUUAUCGCUUACUAGUUUAAACUGUAAAUGAUCUCAAUAUUUUUCUCCGUGAUGUCGAUUUCUUUAGACUACGAAAGGGAAAAAUUAGUGACGUAUCCCCUACUUAGUUAUAAACUUUUCCAGUGGUUUUAAAUCCCUCGGGCUAAGGACGUACACUUGAUCCAUGAAAAUGACUAGUAGAAGAUUUUUUUUAAGAAUCAAAGAAAUGCAUUAUUUUUUCGGUCUGUUUUCAAGAAUUUGAGCAGUAUACAGAUUAAAGAGUGUUUUUUUUUAAACUUGCUUAUCAACAUAGAAAUGCACAUAGCUGAAAGCCAACUGAAUAUUUGCAGGCAAAGGAGAAGGCAAUCGGUGUUUGAGACCGUCAAGAAGAUGUAGAAGAAUAAGAAUAAAAGCCCAAUGCGAGGAUGAUUCCAAGUUUCUACGUUACUAUUUCUACAUCUAAAUUGACUUUAGCUCCUGAGUUCCAUGUUUAUGGGGUUUGUACCGUUUUACGUACCAUGCAGUACAUGCUUGUAAGGUUUUCUGUCCUGUUGGCAAGCCGCAAGUCCAUAUAAUAAAUGAAUACUAUUUAUAUUACGACACUUUUCUCUCUUUCUCUUAUAUUUUGUCUUUAAUAUUGUUGAUCAUUUUUUUUAUCAAAAGUAUCAAAUGCUUAGGUAAUUUGGUCUAAUGCUAAUUGUUUUACUUUUAUUUUUCACCUACAUCCCUUUUCAACUCAAAGGAUGCUACAGUUUGUGAUCAUUGUUUAAGACCGAAGCAUGGUACUAAUAAAUAUCUCAUUGAAAGUCAAGGAAACUAACAUUAUGAAAAGUGUAAAUCUUGAUUUGAUGAAACUAUUUAUUCGUGGAAUUUAGAGAUACAAAACUCAAAUUGUGACGGUGUUGCUGCUAAAUUAUUAAGGACAUUAUCACCAUUAUUUUUCCCUCACUAGUUUCAUCUGCAAUGAUCUCAAUCUUUUUGUAUUGAUCGGUUGUAAUGAAUCGCGAUUGAUUGGUUGUAAUCCGCUUGUAUUGAUCCCACUAUUGUGGAUACUUCUACGCUCAACAAAAAAUAUAUAUAUUAAAGAAUUAGCAAUAUUUUUUAGAACAAGUUAAAUUUAUUCAUACAAAUUAGACAAAGAAGUAUUUUAAAGACCAUGAUGAAAUUAAUACUUCCAAGGUCUCUAUUAGGAAGACUUCCUUGCCUUGAGUUGCAGUUGCGUGCAGAUGUUUAUAUUUCAAAUUGAUGGUAUAGUAAAAAUGUUGAAUUUCUUUAUCCCCGUGACUUCAAAAAUAUGAACUCAAGAAAUUAACUUCUUAACCAGUAUGUCAUACAAGCUUCACAAGAAAUGUAUAACUUUGCAACUAGAGUCAAUAGAAAUCGUCACAUAAUUAUUAAUUUUACAUCGAAAUUAAGCCUGUAUGACAUACUGGUUCGAGGUUUGGCCACGCUACCUUCCUAUUGUUUAAAAAUUCUCACAUAAUCCCUUGUACUUUGGACUAAACUCGAAUGUGAAAAGAAACCAUCCAAGCUAGUUUGGGAUACACUUGUUGCACUUUGAACUAAACUUGAACGUGAAAGGAAAUCCCAAAACCAUAUUGGGCAUGAAUUCACACUUAAUAGACCCAAAAAAAGAUGGCGACUGGUGAUGGAGGUGAAAGGCAGUGGGGACUGGUGGAGAGAUUUGAGGAAUAGAAGCAGACGAAAAAGCAACAAAUUUUUGCCAAAAAACGGUGACUUUCAUGGUUAAUAUUGCUACUCUCUAAUUGUACUUGACCAAUACAACAGUGAAAUUGUAAUUUAUGCUGAAGAUGGAGUUUGAUACGUGAAGAGAAUUUUUUAUAAAUUUUAUUUUGACCCAUAAUGUUAUCUUUAGAUACAAAAAAUAUUUUAAAAUUUUGAUUUUGGCCCGGUUAACUUUUGGUAAACAAAAAAUGCUCAUGCUUAGUGACAGGUUGUCGAUGCCUGUGCAAAAAUAAAAAUAAAUCUAGUUGCCAAUUAAAAUAAUCAGAGCCCAAUUCUGAGUACUGGAGCAGGGACUCUAGGUGUGCAAUGGGUUACUUGAUUCACUCUAUUUCCGAAGAGUUUGCUUAACCCGAUAUACCAGAAUGGGAUUGCUUAUUCAAAAGGAAUUGUUGAUUUGUAAACAGGGCAAGUAGGGUCGUAUUCUCAGGUGGGCUGGCGGUGCGCGGUCAAUCGACGGAGAAAGAGAGGAAAGGACGCGGGUGGAGGUUUUUGGGUUUUGGCCAAGAGAAGAGGGAACGCAGGGAAAGAGAGAGAGAGGGGCGGUGCUCGGGAAGGUGAGCGGCGGACGACGGCUAGGAGGGAAAAGGAGGAGCGGCGUGCGAAGUUAGAGAGGAGGAGGGAGGCGGCAUACGAAGGAAAAAGAAAUCAAGGAAGAAGAAAGAAAGAAAAGAGGAAGAAAGAAAAGAAGAAGGAAAAAAAAUAGUUUUUGGGUUUUUUUUCAAUUUUUUUUUAUUUUUUUGAAUUUAAAUGUCAAAUUUUGAAUUUUUGAAAAAAAAAACUGAAGGUUAAAAAGGAAAAUAAUUUUAUUUUGCUAAAAAAAAAUUUUUAUUUUUUUAUUUUUUUUUGUUUUGGAUCGUCAAACACAGCGUGGGCACGCCAAAAUUAUAAAACGUCCACUGAUCUUGGGAGUCACUGACACGGCGUGGGCACGCCAAGAUUUCACUUCCUGCCAACGUCGCGAGAUGUUGAAAUUGUACUAACAUGGCGUGGGCACGCCAAGAUUGGUAAACAUCCACUGGCCUUGGGAGUCACUUUUUGAGUGUCCUCCUCGCGUGGGCAUGCCAAGAUUCUAUGUCCUGGUCACAUUGGAGAAAAAUAUGAAAAUUGACUAGUACCCAAAUGAAAAACGACAAAUCGAAAGAAUUGAACAACAAAAAAUAAUAAAGCUAAUAUUUGGGUUGCCUCCCAAAAAGCGCCUUUUUUAACGUUUUUUGUUAGACGUUGAACACCACUCUUCAAUUUGGAUGUAAUUCAAUUUUCCUUGUAAUCGGUGGUCCUACUCCGGGUUCCAAAUAAUCAUUGAGUGCAGCCUUCUUUCUUUAUUUUCUAUUCAUUUUCACCUCAUAAAUUGCUUUCAUUCCCUGAUAUUUGUUCGCAAGAAUUUUGAAUUUACCCCUACAACCAAACUCAAAAAAUUCUUGCACAAAGGAAUUAGUAGCAUGAAUAGCAAACACAGAAUGAGAGUUAACAGUAUGUUUUAUUGUAUUAAAAAUAUUAAAAUGGACUAUUUCUCCAUCGAAUUCCAUUGUGAGAGUACCCUUACUAACAUCAAUCUUAGUUUGGAUAGUACUCAAGAAUGGCCUUCCUAAUCUAAUGGAUGAUGGAUUUGGGACACUUUCAUCAUCCAUAUAAAGCACAUAAAAAUCAGCAGAAAAAAUUAAUCCAUCUACUUGCACUAAAACAUUCUCAACUACCCUAUCUGAAUAAGUAAAUAUACGAUUAGCCAAUUAAAUUAUUAUCCCUAUUUCUUUUAAAGAUCCUAAAUUUAGGGAAUCAUAAAUUGAUUUAGGCAUCACAUUAAUAGAAACUCCUAAAUCUAGCAUGGCAUUUUUUAGAUUAGAAUGUCCAAUCUUACAUGGGAUAGUAAACAUACCUAGAUUCCCGUAUUUAGGUGGUAGUUUCCUUUGUAAAAUUGCUGAAAUGUUCUCAUCUACCACAAUAUGCUUGUCCUCCCUCAAUUUCUUCUUGUUGACACACAAGUUUUUCAAGCAUUUAGCGUAUUUUGGCACUUAUUUGAUCGCGUCCAACAAAGGAAUAUUGAUUGCCACCUUGCGAAAAAUGACGGAAUUUUUAUAUCAAUGCAAGUUUAAAUUCGAUUUUAUACCCGUUGACUGCAAGUAUACAGGCCGAAAUUGUAAUGUAGGGUAUGUAUCGGGUCGAUCCCACGAGGAGCAAAUUAAACAAGUACUAAGCCCUUAUUUUUCUCUAUUAUUUAGACUCACAAUAAAUUUGAACAGAGAAAGUAUAUUGCUAAAAUUUACAAAUUUGAUAUACAAAUAUAAUUUAACAAAUGCUAAAUGCAAAAGAAGAAAUUUCACUCAAGGAAGAAUUUAGGGAUGUAGAUUCCACUUAUGGCAUAAACAACACAAAUGAAUGGAUUUACCUCUUAUUAUUAUUCUUGUUUAACUAGGGAUUCAUUUCCAAAAUUAUCAAGUCUCAUUUUCAUGAUGAAAUGGCCUAGACCAAUAUAGUUUUCCCUAUUUUCAUGGUGAAAUACUACUACUACUCUGUUUUAUUUCAUGAAAUGCUGAAUAAUCCACCUAAGUGUAUCUCUAUUUUCAUGAACAUACAACUUAAGCUCUACUCAUUUAUUUCCAUUGUUACUACCAAUUCUCAUUGAAUAAUAACAACUAUAAACAUACUAUUGGUGAUCAAUCAAUAACAAGUAAUCACAACUACACAAGUAAACAAGUUAAUACAAAAUAUAACAAGUGUAAAUCACAUUCAAGUCAUAUUAUUUAGCCAUAAGUUUCAUCUACUUCCUAGAUAAAGAAAAUUAGCUACUCAUGAAUGAUUUAACAAUCAAACUCACAAGUUUAUUAAUGCAAAAUAUCAUAAAGUACAAGUACAAGAAAGAUAAAAGAAAUCUUAGCCAAUUGAUGGUGAAUCCCUCCAAUUUCUGCUAUGUUCUUGUACAAGAUGAUUACAACUGAAAACUCCAAAUGCUUCUCUAAGGACUCCUAGCUAGAGAGAAAAUGUUACAAGAAGGAAAAACUAGCUACGUAUGGUCCUGUCCUGCUUCUCCCCUGUGUUUUUGCAUAAAAGGUAGUAGAAAGUCUAUUUUCCUCUUCAUAAUUUCCUCCAUUCAGAUUUUGUAAAAAGAAGUCAAAGAUAUGAUGUUUCCUUUUUUCUACAACUCAUUUGGUCUUCUCUUUUGUUGCAGAAGCAUGUGCCACCGAUUUCUAUCCCUCAAAAUAGUUGAAAAAAUUGUGAGAAAGGUAAAGAAAAACAGCUGUGUCACUUGCUGAGCAGAGAGACAAAUCCGAGCCUCGGAUCCGGGGGUGAAACUGGAUCCGAGGACUUCCCAAGGUGGAUCCGAGGUCGGAUCGUUCUGACCUUGGAUACACUCCUCCAAAAGUACAUACGAGGGCUCGGAUCCCUCUUGUUCACACGGAUCCGAGCUCGAAUCCGUGUUGAUUAAAUUUUCAGUUUUUCACUUCUUUCCUUUUUCUACAUUUUUGCUCCCAAUUUCUUUUGUACUUUGUCCUCUGGAUGAUCCUUGCAUUUCUUUCAACUUCGUGCACGAAUUUCAUACAUCAAUAACCUUCACAAUUUCACAAAAUUAACUCAUUAAUCCACUCAUUUAUCAAGUUUUGAACACUUAAACAAUAUUUUAAGUAAUUAUCACUAAAAGAGUUCAAAUAUGGCUUUAAUCUUCUCAAAACAUGCCAAAGAUUCAUGCCAAAUCUGUACAAAAUGUACGUUAAAUAUUCACUUAUCAAAAAACCUCUAAAAUCUCCUUUUCUUUAUCUUGCUUCUUUGAUUUCUCUAACCUGCUCGGAAAAGGCGGUAAGUUAGUUCCAACUCUAAUUAUAGAAUCAGGAAUUAUCUUUGGAUUCGCAUUUCUCAUUCCUUCCUCCUCAAGCUCUUUGUCAAUUCAAUCUUCAUUUUUAUCUUUCGGAAUCACAAGUUCGGAUCUCUGAAUUUUCUUCCCGUUCCUUAAGAUCAUUGCACUUACAUUUUUCAGGUUCAGUUCAGGUUGAGACGGUAAUUUUUCAUAAACUUGGGAUUCCAGGCGGUUGAUUGCUAUUGCCAUCUAACUCAUCUGAUUCUGCAUUACUUGCAUCUGUCCCAAUUGAUUUUUCAUACUUUGUAGGUCAGAAUCCAUUUUUUGUUGAUUAGCAAUUAAUUGCUUCAUCAUCUCUUCUAUAGACAGACUUGAGUUUGAAGGAGGUGGUGGCGGGCGAGACUGAUACUGUUAUUGAUACCCUUGCUGUCUAUUUGGUGUAAAAUCUGGCUGCCUAUUUCCUCCAUAGUUGAGGUUGGAAUGAUCUCUCCAACCAGGAUUGUAUGUAUUCGUGUACGGGUCGUAUGGCUUUCUUAGCACGGGCGCGUAACCAGCCAUGUUCACUUGCUCCGUACUUUUCUCUUGAAUCAUUGAGCACAUCUCUGUAGAAUGACCCAUAGCAGUGCAGAUCCCACACAAUUUGGCUCGUGAUGUAUUUCCUAUAGCUAAUUGCCUAACAAAGGAUGUUAAUUCGGUCAACUGCUAUUGGAUGGAAUAUGUCUCUACCUCAUUUACUUUGCGUGUCGGGACAUCUUCCCUCGUAUCAAACUGUUACGAAUUCUCCGUCAUUCCUUCAAUUAGCUCCUACGCUUCUCAAGAAAUUUUGUUCACCAAUGCCCCUUCACUUGCAGCAUCAAUUAUACUCCUGUCUCUAAAAAACAGCCCCUCGUAAAAAUAUUGGAUGAGCAAUUACUCACUUAUUUGGUGUUGAGGGAACUUGAUGCAUAACUUCUUGAAUCACUCCCAAUAAUCAUAAAGCGACUCUUCUAGAUACUGCUUGAUACCGCAUAUCUCCUUCCUUAGGCUUGCAGCUCGAGACGCAAGAAAAUAUUUGUUCAAAAACUUUUUCUUCAACUGAUCCCACGUGGUGAUGCUACUUGGUGGUAAGUAGUACAGUCAGUCUUUUGCGGAGUCCUUCAAGGAGAAGCAGAAUGCUCUCAUUUUUAUCUGUUCUUCUGUAAUUUCCGGAGGUUUCAUACUGUUGCAAACGACAUCAAACUCUUGCAAAUACUUAUACGGUUCCUCACCUGCUAAAUCAUAAAAAGAUGACAAGAGAUGAAUUAGACCAGAUUUUAACUCAAAUGGAGUGGUUAUCAUUUAAAUAUGGAAAAGUAAUACAUAAGGGCUGCUGUUUUAAAUCAGGAGCAGCAAACUCCCUUAGUAUCCGUGCAUUAGCCAUAGUGACUUCUUCUCGAUCCGAGUCACUAGAAGUAUCACUAUGUGAAUCUGUUAGUUCAACUUCUGGCUUAGGUCUUUGAGAUGAAGCACUGGAGUGCUCUUCUCUAAGUUGUCCGGUCUCUUUCCUUAUUUUAUGCGCAGUCUUCUCUACCUCGGGGUCAAAAAUUAAUUCACCUGUAUGAGAAGAAUGAGGCAUAUACUAGGAAAGCACUAGAAAAUUAGAACAAAAAUGAACCUAAAAAGAAACAAAUAAACCAACACCAGUCCCUGACAACGGCGCUAAAAAUUGACAGGUUAUCGAUGCCUGUGCAAUAAUAAAAAUAAACCUAGUUGCCAAUUAAAAUAAUCAGAGCCCAAUUCUGAGUACUGGAGCAGGGACUAUAGGUGUGUAAUGGGUUACUUGAUUCACCCUAUUCCCGAAGAGUUUGCUUAACCCGAUAUACCAGAAUGAGAUUGCUUAUUCAAAAUGAAUUGUUGAUUUGUAAACAGGGCAAGUAGGGUCGUAUCCUCAGGGAUUGGAAAAAAUUUGUUUCUUUUCAAAUCCACAGUAACAAGGAGGUGUUUUUGUAUAAACGAUAACAAUCUAAGGAGUGCAAAUAGAAAUAAAUAGAUAACUAGAAAUUAAAUGACAAUUCACUAAAAUUAGAAUAAUAAUAAUUAAAGGUCUAGCCAAGAAAUAAUUUCAGCAAUGGUUCACCUAAUUGAUCAUCGACGCAAAGGCAAUUCCAAUUAUUUACUAAUAAAUAGAUUAUAACUGUCAAACAAGUGAUGAUAGUCAACCCCUCCUUACUGUAUCAGUGAUUAAGGUAUGUCCGUUAAUCACUGCUAUAAUUGAGAAAUAAUCUUAGGUACGUCCGUAAGAUUUAAUUCCCCAAUUGCCUUACGUAUUAGAGGAGCCCUAUUCUAACCAAAUAACGCACUAUCAGGAUUAUUUUAAAUUAGCCCAUGUAUUCCCUUGAUACAAACCCAAUCAUGCCAGUUGUCACUAUUUCAAGGCAAUGAAACAAUUACGGAUUUAAUGCCCUAAUUGACUAUAGGUUACUAAAUCAAUUCACUAUCUCGAUCCAAGAUAAUCAAUCAAUUUAACAACUAAUAGCACUGCAAUCGGAGAAUAUGUAAAUACCAAUAAAUAAGAGGAAAAGAUAAAAUUAAAUCGAUCUCACAAUUUUUAGACAAACCAAAGCAUCAGUUAUUUCUUGACUAGAAAAGAAAAUUUAGUUCAUUCCUAAUGCGAAAGACCCACGCGAGAAUUCAAAAAUAAUAUUCACGGACAUCGUCUUGAUCCAGUAGAUUCAAUUGCGUUGGAAUAAGGAUAAAAAACCAAACUACAGAGAGUGAUUCAUUGUUUUGUUUCGUCUGCACUUUUUCUACACAUACGGAAGAAGAAAAACAACUAAAGGAUGAAAAAAGAAAAGUCAAAGAAAGCCACCCAAAGUAGUGCUUGGUCUCUACCAUCCUAUUUCCUAUCUAAUUACUACUUCCCUUCUGCGGCUGCCUAGAGGAAGAAAGAAAAGGAGACUCCAGGUCUUGUUCCAUCUCCUCCCUUUUCGGCAAUUCCCCAAAAGUAGAAAAGUUCCUCCGUUUACCAAAAUGCCCCUGGAAUGAGGACCGCUACUUGAACUCAUUUCCUGAUGACUGUCAAAUUGACACUUGUUAUGGUAUUUGCGUUCCACUCCCUGUAAUAAAUGCAAAUUGUCAAAAGUGAGUAAAAUUUGACAAUUAAUUUAAAUCGGGUCAGGUAAUAGGGGAAAUUAAUUAUAAAAUAAAUGAUAAAAUUGUAACCUAUCACUUAGAAUAACUAGAAAUAAAACAAAACAAGAAAUGAAAGAAAUAAGAGGGGUAGCAUAGACAUUUUGGAUUUUUCUGUUAAUUUGGAUGAUUUCCACCCACGGUCUAAUUUAAUCCAAAACACAAAUGGAUUAUGUGGAGGUUUUUAAACAAUGAGGGAGUAUCAUGAUCGAAUUCUAAAACACAAAGGGGAUUUACUAUAUUUUACUCUUAAAUUUUGGUUUCAUCUCAUAGCAUACAAGAGUACUAUUUCACUGUCUGUCGACAAAGAUUUUCUAUGGUUGAUGUACCAUAGGAAAAAUCUGCCUAUACCAUCAUUUGGAAAAAUUAUCAAUCCAAACAUAGCCACCAUAGCAUUUUUUCAAAAACACAAGAUGGAAAAUUGUCCCCUUAAACGUUGAAAUUCAUGAUCUUUCCUCGACCUAGUCUACUUGUCAAUUCUUGAAAAAAGAAUAGUCACGCCUAAAACACGGCCUCUUCAUCUGCAGAAUUCUAAAAAGUUAGGUAAACUCUAUAAACAAGUUGAUAGGUACAAUCGUACCCAAGAUCAAGUACAGGUAUUUGUACAUUCACUGCUGCAAUAACUAAUCUGAUGACUUACAAACACAUCAUGGUCAAUCGUUGAAUGGUAAUGAGUCUUUUGUUAUGCAUUAGUAUUAGUGUGUACACUCUAAUAGAUUGAUACUUAUACACUUUAAAUUAUCAUAAUAAUACCCUUAAUUAACUUUAACUCUUAAAAAGAAUACGUGUUAAUACACGAGAGUGUGUAAUAGAACGGCAAGCAUUAUGGUGGUCAUUGAGCAACUUAUAGGAGAAAUAGUCCUAUAAGCUGUUCAAUGACCAAUCACAACUUGCUAAUUGGAUGACUAAUAUAGCUCUAGCUGUAAUGUUUUAAUUAAAUUCCAUCACUAACGUUGGGAUGACUUUUUAACCAAAAAAAAAAGCCUUAGUUCAAGCUCUUCCCUUUAUUGUGCAUUUUUUAAAACAUUUGAUAGGCACUGCAAAUCUGUCAUUUUGGACAUUUUAUUAUUAACUAACCAUGAAAGCCGUGGACAUCAACCCAUAUCCAACAGAAUAUUAAAUUAAUAUUAGAAAAAAUUAUUAAGUAAUUGGAAAAAAAAAAGAAGAGACUAAUUUUCAUUGAAACCCACCGACAAACUAUACGUGUCCAUAGCUUUUGAUUAGUGCAUUCAACGUUUAAUUGUAUAGUCCAGUUCAUAGCCGAUUACAUGGAGUAAAGAUUGUGCUCUUUCCUUUUUCACCCCUUUUGGAAUCGAUACUGUGGAGAAUUGGGUUUUUCCCUCCUUUUUUUCUUUUCUUUCCUUCUGUGCUUUGCAAAACAUAGGUAAAAAUAUGAAAUCCGAAGCAUUCUUUAAUUGGGAUUAAGUAUUGUUCUUGAAAUUAAAAAGAAGAAAGAAAGAACAACAAAAAUCCCAAUCUGGGUUGAUUGUUGAGCUCUAGUUUGGCGGCAUCGUGCUUCCAUAGAAGUUCUCUUAGUGUGAUACGCUGCUUUCAAUCAGUUUAACACGGGAAAAAGAAAAGACAUGAAAAGCAAAUUUUGUGGGGAUAAUUUCAGAAAUCUCUCCUGAAGUUUUUUACUAUUUUACUGGCCUCCUUUCAAAUUUUAAAAAUUACACUAGUCUUCCUUGAGAUUAUUUAUCUUGUAACAUUUAGGUCCAAUCAAUAAUUAAAAGAUGAUAUUAUGAGAGAGAAAAAAAUAUGAUUUUAUCAUUGCCCCCAUCUUACUACAUUAUUGAAUUAAUUUAAUAGCAACCCACACAUUAAAGAAAAAUACUAAUAUUUGCUGUUUUUCAUUGAAGAUCAAAUCACAUGUGCCAUAAAAUAUAGUAUAUCAUUUUAUAUAUUUCACUUAAUGUAAGAUCCAAAUUAUUCUUUUCAAUUACAAAUCCAUUGUUAUUAUAAAAAAAAAAAUAAACUUUAACAUCAUAAAUAUUCUUAUCAAAAUAUUAAAGUUAGUUACUAAAAUUUUUAUGGUGUUAAAGUUCACUCUUUGUAAUAUUUAUGGGUUUGUAAUUGAAAAGAAUAAUUUGGAUCUUACAUUAAGUGAAAUAUAUAGAAUGAUAUACUAUUUUUUAUGGCAUAUGUGAUUCAAUCCUUGAUGAUAAAAAGCAAAUUCAAGUGUUUUCUUUAAUGUUUGUGCUGAUAUUAGAUUAAUUAAAUAAUUUAGUAGAUGAAAGAAAAUAGUGAAAUCAUAUUAUUUUUUCUUUCCUAAUAUCACUUUUUAAUUAUUGGUUGAACUUAGAUAUUACAAAAUAAUAAAUCUCAAGGGAGAUUAGUAUAAUUUUCAAAAUUUGGAGAGAAGCUAAUGAAAUAAUCAAAAACCUUAAGGGAGGUUUACAGAAUUAUCCCAAUUAUGUGGGAAUUAGAAUAAUUGUACUGGACGGCACUGCUGCAAUAGAGGGAAAGAGGAGAAGGUGCAGUUAACUUUUGUUGUUUGAAAUCCUUGGCGAAAUAUUACAGAAAGACAGAUAAAACGGUGGUUAGUACAUAAAUGUUUAUGACAGGGAAAAUGGUACGUCUGUUAAUCACAUUUGAAACAUUUUCAUUGGUGAAUGACCAAAAGUAUCAGGCUUGUCCAAUAGUUGAUCAUUGACCAAGAUAAAACCUGCCAUGGUAGAGCCGUAGAGGUACGAUCUUUUCGUACCUCUUAGUGCACAGGACAUUCCUUUGUUUCAUCUAGCUAAUAAUCUACCAACUCAUUUCUUCACAAAUGCACCUUUUAUGGUCACGUCUACGAAAGCCUUUACAGGAUCUUUACCCUAAAAAUCAAUUCACCGACUCCCAUUUGAUGUCAGAAAUUCUUCUACUUUACUCCAAGAUUGACUGUUAAUAAUAAUGAGACAAUGACCACUUUGAAUUAGGGGUGCGCAAAAUUAUCUGCUAAUCCGAAAAUCCGUCAUAUUCGAUCUGAUCCGAUCCAAAAAUUAGGAUAUUUGAUUUUUAUUAUUUGAUCGGAUCAAAAGAGGGUCGGGUAUCCGCUAAGAUACGGGGCGAGUUAGAGUCACAUAAUUAAAAAUUCGCGGGUAUCCGAUCCGCCCCGCAUAUAUAUAUUUUUUAUUUUUAUACACACUAUAAAAUAAUAAGUUAGAACCAAAUAAGUAAUUUUAUUGAACAAAUUGCAUUACAAAUAUGAGAGACUAUAGUUUAUUUACAAGAUUCAUUUGUAAAGGUCAUGAUCUUAUAUUUUAUAGAAAAAAGUUUAAUUAAUGUGGAACAUAUAUAUUAAAAAUUGUGCUACUUAUUUCAAACUUUUAUUGAUUUUGAUUUCUUUUAAUUUUUUUCCUUUAUCUUAUAUUCUCUUCAUAUGCUUGUUUCUUGGUGGGAAACCUUUUUUUAGAAAAAAAAAAUUAUUAAAUCUUAGAUGAAUGUGUAAAAUAUAAAAUUAAAUUAGUAUAAAUCAUUUUUUUAAAAAAAUUAAAUGAUAAACGGGACGGAACGGGUACCCGCUGAUCCGACCCUAUCUUAUCGGGUACCCGCUGAUAUGCGGGGCAGGUAAAAAUCAGAAAAUGACUGACCUGUAAGGUGCAGGUCGAAUCAAUCAAAUGGUGAAUGGGACGGGUAUACGACCCGCGCCAACACCUACUUUGAAUUAUCACACCAUCCUUCUUGAUAGGAUUGGUACUAGAGGUAGGGAGGGGAGUCGGCUGCAUCCGGUCUUCUUUUCAUAGAUGUCAUUCACGCAAUAUUAUAUUUCGAAGUCAUUGCAUGGCUAAGCUGCAAAAAAGUACGAACACUUGUUAUUAUAUAGCUUAAGAUUCAAAACGUUAGAGCAUAACCCUCCACCUAACACAAUUGAAUAAUGAAUAUUCACGAUUGUCAAAUCUGUCAAAGCACAGUUUGAGGACAACCCAUUCCAACCUGCAAAAGAUUUUUUACUUUUCUAAAGUUGUUGAGAGCUGUAAAAAGACUUACCAUGCUUACAUCUUCCGAGCCUUGGGAGUUAAAAAUGAAGGCACUGAGUGCUAUAAAAAGGGGGCUAGAGGCUGCCUAGAAGCAUAUCAGCCUAAAACAAGAAUUUGUAGUUAUGAUGGGAAGCAAAGCAAAAGCAAUGGGGUCUGGGCUGACUCCUCUUCUUACCACUCUUUUAGUGGUAUUUGUUGCUCUUGGCUUGCCCUCAGAAACUGCAGCUGAUGAUCACUACAAGUAUUCAUCUCCUCCUCCUCCUUACCACUAUCCCUCACCACCACCUCCAGAGCAUUUACCUCCACCAGUGUACAAAUACAAGUCCCCACCACCACCUCAUCAUGUUUACAAGUACAAAUCUCCACCACCCCCACCACCACACCCAGUUUACAAGUAUAAGUCGCCACCACCACCUCCUCAUCCGGUACCACACCCAGUUUACAAGUAUAAGUCACCACCACCACCUCCUCAUCCGGUACCACACCCAGUUUACAAGUAUAAGUCACCACCACCACCUCCUCAUCCGGUAUACAAGUAUAAGUCUCCUCCGCCACACCACACCCAGUUUACAAGUAUAAGUCACCACCACCACCUCCUCAUCCGGUACCACACCCAGUUUACAAGUAUAAGUCACCACCACCACCUCCUCAUCCGGUAUACAAGUAUAAGUCUCCUCCGCCACCACCACACCCAGUUUACAAGUAUAAGUCACCACCACCAC
rnacentral:lncRNA from 1 species